rnacentral:misc_RNA from 1 species
GUGAAUCAUCAAAUCUUUGAACGCAAAUUGCACUCUCCUCGGAGAGUAUGCCUGUUUGAGGGUCAGCCUAUAAAAAAUCGACAUCGUUGCUGUUUCGCGGUGGCGUUCGUCGGAAAUUGGGUCAUCUUAAAUCUUUUUGUUCUAAGCGACUUAAAAUUUUCUUUUUGUUUCCAUGAACGUUUCUAGAAUCUAUUUCUUUACACUUUUAGGGUUUCGCUUUUUACUAGCCUUGACCAUCAUAUC